GCGGGGCCUGGCGCGUCCGCCGAGCGCGGGGGUUUGUUUAUUUUCCCGGUUGGUAGCGGCGCUGGCGCUGGUUAGAGGUUCGCCGGUGACGUGAGCGCCCGAGUUGGGGGAGAGGACCAGAACCACCUGCUGGAGAAAGGGAGCUACGGGGGCCGGGCAGGGUCCAAACGCCUCACGUGGGCGGCGGCGCCACGGUCUUCGGGGUCACAGGGAAGAGAAGGGCUCUCCUCAAGCGGGUGGAAGGAGGGAGGCCUCCCGAGGGAAUGAGACUCCAGGCCACUCCCCCGCAGCAAGGCAGGAUCACCUGCGUCGCGGAGAGCAGUUAGAGGUCCCUGGAGUGGAAAAGGGCAGUGGGACCUGGUAGCUUGGGUUCCCUGCAACUUGGGGUUCGACCUCCAGGCAAUGAAGUAGGGAUGGUCCUGCAAGUCAAGAUUCCAGUAGCAAGAGUGCAUCAGAUCUCUGUAAGGAAAAUAACUAACAUUGCUCAGUUCCCUGUAGAGUUGCAGGGCGCUUUGACGUUAUCUCCCUUGGUUCUCCAUCAGGUCGUAGUGGACUAAUUUUACAGGCGAAGUUAAGUGACUUACCCAAAACCUCACAGCUAAUAAACGGCAGAGCCGGCACCCAGCUGUACUGGCUUCCAGCGCAUCCCAUUAUCUCCAUAAAUCCCCCUGAUUCAACUAAUAUUAGACGCCCCACAGGUAAGAUGCUUCAGAGUUAGAGGGGAGUUGAAGAUACCUUUGCCUUCAAAGAAGUAAGGAAUGAAACAAAGAUAAAACAGACAAUAAAAGACAAACCAUGAUAGGUGCCACGUGAAAAGUGGCAGAGUACUGCCGGGAAUCAAAGAACCGUGUAUAUCUGUCUUGGGGAUAAGGAAAGAAACGCAGCAUGAAGGAGUAGGCAUUUGGGAUUGACCUUGAAGGAGACAGGGAGAGUUUUACAGCAAGAAGGGAUAGCAUGAGAAUAUAUAUGAAGGCGAAUCAGUGAAAGUUGUGUUGGGGAAAGAGCAAAGACUCCAGGUAUGUUGAGAGGUAGAAAAGACAAAGGAGUAUGGGGCCUAAGAUACCAAAUGGAUGAAUUUAUAUUUAAUUCAGUAUUUUGAGUUUUUAUGGUUCAGAAGUUUGGGGGAAGAAAAGGAAGGUUUUUUUUUUCUUUAUGCUAGUGAUUUAUCUGUGAAGGGAAGCAGAAAUCAGAGGUGGAAAAACUGACAGAUCUACUGUAGGCCAGGUAAAAGGUAAUGAUGAGUCUGACCUAAAGGGACAGCCAGGGGAAUUUAAAGAGCAUAGUUGAGAGAUGAUGUGCAUGCAGAAUCUAUAGAAUUUGCUAACUGAUUGAUUAAUUGUGGGUAGGAAGAGAGAAAUCAAAGAAAGUGGAGGUUUUGAGUUUCUAGAUAAUUGCAAGAGAGAAAAGAGACAAUUACAAAGGAAAGGAGAAGGAGCUACUUCUUGAGAGAAGAUCAGUUUAGAUUUAGACAUUUUAAGAAUUCAAAGGGUUGUCAAGACAGCCAGACGGACAUGGACACUAAUAAGUUAGAAAUAAAGGUUUUGUAAUAUGGGAAAGAGGACUGAGCUAGAAAAUAGACUCAUAGAUAAUCAGCCUAGGAGUGAUAUUGCUGUGAGAUAAAAGAAGAAAACAAAGUCAGAAUCUUGGAAAACACCCUCUUCAGAGUCUCGCUGCUCAAAACGUGGUCAGUGGCCCAGCAGCACUGACAUGAGGACCUUAGUUGGAAACUCAGAAUCUCAGGCUCCACCCCAGACCUGCUGAACCAGCAUCUUCAACUUAACAAGAACCCGAAGAGAUUUGUGCCACAUCAAAAAGUUUGAGAAGCUCUGAUCUAGGUGAGCCAAGCCAGCAAAGAAAGGGGGUGGAGCAGAAAAUGGGAGGAGAAUAGGGUAAUGCAGAAUCAUCAAGACAAGGUAAAUUGGACUUUCACAAAAACGGGGCUGGAAGGAGUGUUGCUCAACAAUAUCCAAAACCACAGAGGUUGAAAAGCACAAGGAAAGAAGGUAUGUUUGCACUUUGUGAUUAGGUAGUAGGGUCUUUAAGACCACAUUGUUCUCAUUGAAAGCCUGGGAAGAAAGAUCCCCUUUCUGGUCAAGGUUAGUCUAGGGAUCCAUCCCCUCUUCCCCAGUUCCCACGUAUAUGGGACAUGUCGAGAUAAGUAGAUAGAUUGGACAGUGGGAGAAAGUAGUUCUCUUCCAGUUGCUUCUAUUUUCUCAGCAAAGUGAGGAACAAGAUCAUUUUGGCAGACUGCUAAUUGUCCAUCAUAAUUUAGUCUCCCCUUCUCCCUGAAAACACAGACUGCUUUUCUCAGCCUCUCUUUCAGUUGCAUAUGGUCAAGUAUUAAGUUAUAGAACAUGAGCAGAUGUUAUGUCUGCCACUGUCAGGCCAAGGCGUUUACUUUGAGAGUACUUGUGCCUCUUUCAUACAUUUUCCUUUCUGCCAGCUGGACCCUGGACACGGUGACUCUGAUUCAAUUAUGCAGAUGACCACAAGCCUCUGGGGUUGGCAGAGCCACAAGAAAGAAGGUGCCUGGAUGAAGGAGAGCUACCCACUGACCUGGACACCCAAUUAUGUCAUAGGUGCUGCAAUCUAGAGACAAAAUAUUCCUUACACUGCCAGAUACUUGCAAACUAAGGGGAACGAGCUUCCCUCUGAAUGUUUAUGAAGGAGAGACCACUGUGUCAUCUGUCUUAGAGCUAUUGGAAUCCUGGAUCAUUGUGGGAAAUGAAAAGAACUGGUUUUUAGCAAGGAGACCAAGAAACUCUACUCCCUAGGGGCUAGCAAUGAGAGAAAGGAAGCCUUGAGUCUUUGAGCACAGGGUGACAGUUUGGGUCCUAUGUGAGAUGAUCAAAUCCACAGCAACAGAGGAAAGGACAAAAGGAAAAGAUACUUCGAUGGAAUCAGCAGCCAUUGAUCCAAUGCCAACUCCAAGACUGGAACGUCGCAAUGAUAGUUCCAAGGCGGAAAUUUGACGUAAUUCUUUUCGACACAGUUUUACAGACGAGAAACCCCAGCUGAGAAGGCAAAUAUACUCAAGGAAAUUAAUAGUUUCCAAAUGCCUGGCAGUGCCAGGAAGAGGCCAUGUCCAUGGACCACUAUGUAAGGAUAUCUCAGUCUCUAGUCAAGCGUGGUUUAUGGUGCCAAAUAAGUGCCAGGUGAACUCACUACAUCUGACAAAAUCUCAAGGAACCAAGUUUACCAGAUAAUAUUUAUGAUUAUGUGAAAAAGACUGAGGAAAUCACUCAAGUGAUCCAUCAUACAGCACCUCCAGUUCCAAAGAAUACUGACUUACUUCAGGUGACUCUUCUCCUGUAACAGAGCCUCCUUCUUAGAAA
rnacentral:lncRNA from 1 species